CAACAGGGAUUGCCCCAGUAACGGCGAGUGAAGCGGCAACAGCUCAAAUUUGAAAUCUGGCUCUCGGGCCCGAGUUGUAAUUUGUAGAGGAUGCUUUUGGUGAGGUGCCUUCCGAGUUCCCUGGAACGGGACGCCAUAGAGGGUGAGAGCCCCGUCUGGUUGGACGCCGAACCUCUGUAAAGCUCCUUCGACGAGUCGAGUAGUUUGGGAAUGCUGCUCUAAAUGGGAGGUAUAUGUCUUCUAAAGCUAAAUACCGGCCAGAGACCGAUAGCGCACAAGUAGAGUGAUCGAAAGAUGAAAAGAACUUUGAAAAGAGAGUUAAACAGUACGUGAAAUUGUUGAAAGGGAAGCGCUUGUGACCAGACUUGGGCUUGGUUGAUCAUCCGGGGUUCUCCCCGGUGCACUCUUCCGGCUCAGGCCAGCAUCAGUUCGCCCUGGGGGAUAAAGGCAUCGGGAACGUGGCUCUCUCCGGGGAGUGUUA
rnacentral:ncRNA from 4 species